UACGUAGGCAGCGAGCGUUGUUCGGAGUUACUGGGCGUCAAGAGUGCGUAGGCGGUUUUCUAAGUUUGGUGUGAAAUCUCCCGGCUCAACUGGGAGGGUGCGCCGAAGACUGGAAGGCUUGAGUAUGGGAGAGGUAAGCGGAAUUCCUGGUGUAGCGGUGAAAUGCGUAGAUAUCAGGAGGAACACCUGCGGUGUAGACGGCUUACUGGACCAUAACUGACGCUGAGGCACGAAAGCGUGGGUAGCAAACAGG
rnacentral:rRNA from 1 species